GGGCUUGACAUCCCACGAACCUGCCCGAAAAGGUGGGGUGCCCGCAAGGGAGCGUGGAGACAGGUGGUGCAUGGCUGUCGUCAGCUCGUGUCGUGAGAUGUUGGGUUAAGUCCCGCAACGAGCGCAACCCUCACCCCUAGUUGCCACCGGGUUAAGCCGAGCACUCAAGGGGAACUGCCAGCGUCAAGCUGGAGGAAGGCGGGGAUGACGUCAAGUCAUCAUGCCCCUUACGCCCUGGGCUACGCACGUGCUACAAUGGCCAGUACAAAGGGACGCGAGACUGCGAAGUGGAGCUAAUCCCAAAAAGCUGGUCUAAGUUCAGAUUGCAGUCUGCAACUCGACUGCAUGAAGGAGGAAUCGCUAGUAAUCGCGCAUCAGCCCGGCGCGGUGAAUACGUUCCCGGGCCUUGUACACACCGCCCGUCACACCACGAAAGCUGUCUGUACUCGAAGUCGCUGAG
rnacentral:rRNA from 1 species